rnacentral:rRNA from 1 species
GUCCAGACUCCUACGGGAGGCAGCAGUGGGGAAUAUUGCACAAUGGGGGAAACCCUGAUGCAGCGACGCCGCGUGAGUGAAGAAGUAUUUCGGUAUGUAAAGCUCUAUCAGCAGGGAAGAAAAUGACGGUACCUGACUAAGAAGCCCCGGCUAACUACGUGCCAGCAGCCGCGGUAAUACGUAGGGGGCAAGCGUUAUCCGGAUUUACUGGGUGUAAAGGGAGCGUAGACGGCAUGGCAAGUCAGAUGUGAAAGCCCGGGGCUCAACCCCGGGACUGCAUUUGAAACUGUCAGGCUGGAGUGCAGGAGAGGUAAGUGGAAUUCCUAGUGUAGCGGUGAAAUGCGUAGAUAUUAGGAGGAACACCAGUGGCGAAGGCGGCUUACUGGACUGUAACUGACGUUGAGGCCCGAAAGCGUGGGGAGCAAACAGGAUUAGAUACCCGUGUA